AGCGAACGCUGGCGGCAGGCUUAACACAUGCAAGUCGAACGCCCCGCAAGGGGAGUGGCAGACGGGUGAGUAACACGUGGGAACGUACCCUUUGGUUCGGAAUAACUUGGGGAAACUCAAGCUAAUACCGGAUAAGCCCUUAUGGGGAAAGGUUUACUGCCGAAGGAUCGGCCCGCGUCUGAUUAGCUAGUUGGUGAGGUAAUGGCUCACCAAGGCGACGAUCAGUAGCUGGUCUGAGAGGAUGAUCAGCCACACUGGGACUGAGACACGGCCCAGACUCCUACGGGAGGCAGCAGUGGGGAAUAUUGGACAAUGGGGGCAACCCUGAUCCAGCCAUGCCGCGUGAGUGAUGAAGGCCUUAGGGUUGUAAAGCUCUUUUACCCGGGACGAUAAUGACUGUACCGGGAGAAUAAGCCCCGGCUAACUUCGUGCCAGCCGCCGCCGUAAGAC
rnacentral:rRNA from 1 species